rnacentral:rRNA from 1 species
UACUAGAGUAGCACUCGCAUAUCAAUAAGCGGAGGAAAAGAAACUAACAAGGAUUCCCCUAGUAACGGCGAGUGAAGCGGGAAGAGCUCAAAUUUGAAAUCUUAAAGGGUUUCCCUUUACGAAUUGUAGUUUAAAGAAGUGUUUUCUGUUGAGGUUUUGGUAAAAGUUCUUUGGAAUAGGACAUCAUAGAGGGUGAGAAUCCCGUAUUUGACCUUUACUUUCAACUUUGUGAUACACUUUCAAAGAGUCGGAUUGUUUGGGAAUGCAGUCCAAAAUGGGUGGUAAAUUUCAUCUAAAGCUAAAUAUUGGCGAGAGACCGAUAGCGAACAAGUACCGUGAGGGAAGGAUGAAAAGAACUUUGAAAAGAGAGUUAAACAGUACGUGAAAUUGUCAAAAGGGAAGCGUUUGACACCAGUGUUGUUUUUCUGAAAGUCAAUUAAAGAACUGUUUAUGCUAAGUUGUUUAGACUUUAUCAGCUAUCUGCUUAGUUUUGAGCUUUUCUUUAAUGCACUUUUCAGUUAACAAGUCAACAUCAAUUUCUUUUGCUGUAAAAAAGCUUGAGGAAGGUGGCUUGAGAUUCGUCUUAAGUGUUUAUAGCCUCUUGCCUAUGCAGUCGGAGAGAUUGAGGUCUGCAGCGUAGAUCCUUCGGGGCUAAAUGCAUUUGUGCUAAGUUAUAGCAUUUUAUAGACAACUUGUUGACUAUGAUUUGCCUUGUAGCUUACUCGCUUAUGUUAUUUUACCUACGCUUAGGAUGUUGAUCUACAGAGCGAGAGU